rnacentral:rRNA from 1 species
UACGGAGGGUGCAAGCGUUAUCCGGAUUCACUGGGGUUAAAGGGUGCGUAGGUGGGUUGGUAAGUCAGUGGUGAAAUCUCCGUGCUUAACAUGGAAACUGCCAUUGAUACUACUGAUCUUGAAUUUUCUGGAGGUAAGCGGAAUAUGUCAUGUAGCGGUGAAAUGCUUAGAUAUGACAUAGAACACCAAUUGCGAAGGCAGCUUGCUACAGGGAUAUUGACACUGAGGCACGAAAGCGUGGGGAUCAAACAGG